rnacentral:rRNA from 1 species
UACGUAGGGAGCAAGCGUUGUUCGGAUUUACUGGGCGUAAAGGGCGCGUAGGCGGCGCGGUAAGUCACUUGUGAAAUCUCUGAGCUUAACUCAGAACGGCCAAGUGAUACUGCAGUGCUAGAAUGCAGAAAGGGCAAUCGGAAUUCUUGGUGUAGCGGUGAAAUGCGUAGAUAUCAAGAGGAACACCUGAGGCGAAGGCGGGUUGCUAGGCUGACACUGACGCUGAGUGCGCGAAAGCCAGGGGAGCAAACGGG